UUAGCCCUACGGGACGCAGCAGUGGGGAGUAUUGCACAAUGGGGGAAACCCUGAUGCAGCGACGCCGCGUGGGCGAGGAAGUACCUCGGUAUGUAAAGCCCUAUCAGCAGGGAAGAAACAGGACAGUACCUGACCAAGAAGCCCCGGCUAACUACGUGCCAGCAGCCGCGGUAAUACGUAGGGGGCAAGCGUUAUCCGGAUUCACUGGGCGUAAAGGGAGCGCAGGCGGCAUGGCAAGUCUGAUGUGACAACCCG
rnacentral:rRNA from 1 species